UACGUAGGUGGCAAGCGUUAUCCGGAAUACUGGGCGUAAAGCGCACGCAGGCGGUCUUUUAAGUUUGACGUGAAAGCUCCCGGCUUAACUGGGAGAGGUCGUUGAAUACUGGAAGACUUGAGGAAAUGAGAGGGGUGUAGAAUUCCUGGUGUAGUGGUGGAAUGCGUAGAUAUCAGGAGGAAUACCAGUGGCGAAAGCGGCACCCUAGCAUUUUUCUGACGCUCAUGUGCGAAAGCGUGGGGAGCGAACGGG
rnacentral:rRNA from 1 species